ensembl:misc_RNA 7SK 7SK RNA
GGAUGUGAGGGCGAUCUGGCUGCGACUUCUGUCACCCCAUUGAUCGCCAGGGUUGAUUCGGCUGAUCUGGCCGGCGAGGCGGGUGUCCCCUUCCUCCCUCACCGCUCCAUGUGCGUCCCUCCCGAAGCUGCGUGCUCAGUCGAAGAGGACGACCUUCCCCGAUAGAGGAGAACCGUUCUUCGGUCAAGGGUAUACAAGUAGCUGCGCUCCCCUGCUAGAACCUCCAAACAAGCUCUCAAGGUCCAUGUAGGAGAACGUAGGGUAGUCAAGCUUCCAAGACUCCAGACACAUCCAAAUGAGGUGCUGCACGUGGCAGUCUGCCUUUCUUA